rnacentral:rRNA from 1 species
UACGUAGGGACCAAGCGUUGUUCGGAUUUACUGGGCGUAAAGGGCGCGUAGGCGGCAAUUCAAGUCAUCUGUGAAAUCUCCGGGCUUAACUCGGAACGGUCAGAUGAUACUGCUUUGCUAGAGUGCGGAAGGGGCAAUCGGAAUUCUCGGUGUAGCGGUGAAAUGCGUAGAUAUCGAGAGGAACACCUGAGGUGAAGACGGGUUGCUGGGCUGACACUGACGCUGAGGCGCGAAAGCCAGGGGAGCAAACGGG